GAAGCUCUGACUGUUUGGCUUCACUUUAGGAGAGCGGUUAUGCCAUCCAUCUUUGUAUACAGUCUUACCGUCGGCCUUUGCUGCUUCUUGUGGGAUUUACCUGGAGACCUCUUGCCUCUUCAAUUCUGAUUUCCUAUCAGGAACAUGAACAGCCUACUCUAAAAUCCUAAGUCUAUAAACUAUCACCUGUGUUUUAUCUACUGGGGGAAAUACAACAGCAUGUUUUGAUCAGCUGAUGCAGACAUCUUUACUCUUGUAACUUUGAGGAAACGAGAGAGACACUUUGAAGAGCUUGCGUGGUUGAGGACGUCCCCAAAAACAGGCGUGAAGGAUAACAGGACAGGAGAAGUGGACUUUGAGAAGGAGCUGCAUUAAUAAAGUCAAUAUCCUCAACAAUUAGUCCGGGGAGGAGGAGGAGGAGGAUUUGAAGCAUGGUCGCACCCCUCUCCAAAUGCCCCCUCAAGGGCUUCGGGGGGCAGCAACGUGUCCGGGGUUCCAGGAGGAGGGGGAGUAAGAGAGAUUGGUCUCUGUCCUGCCUCAGUUCUUGGGGGUCUUCCUCUCCUGGUUUCGUUCAAGUCUCUUUCCGUACUCUCACCAUCGAUCAGACCUUGGCCUCAAGCAUCUCUAGGAAGAGUUUGUGCAUGGGCACCUUGCCCUGCACUUUGAUGCUGUAAAAGUGCUGCACGGCCUUGGUUGCCGUCUGCCUCAGCAGAGGCAGCAUCAUGAGCAGCUUGCCUGCCCGUCGCGGGUCCUCUUGGUGCUGGCCGCUCUCGUAGUCCUGCAGGGCCUCAUGCAGAGCGUCCUGGAGCUUCUGGACUGCCUCCAUGUCCUCUAUGUGCAUAGAGUCUGAUGGUAGGAGAACAGAGACAGGAGAUUGAAGAGGAUGGAUUUUCAAAUAUAGAAAUAAAAAAGGUAACAGAGAAUUGUAGUUUACAACAGAACAGGGAUGUGAAAUUGAUUUUUCUAAAGCAAAAUUAAAUCUCAUGACUGAUCUUUACUGCUCCGUCAGAAGCUGGAAGGUGAGGAGAACAUUAUCAAUAUAACUCACACACUGACAAGAUAAAGAACAGAUCAUAAAAAAGAAAAAAAAACAUCUGUUUUAUUUUCUUUAUUUAUAUAUUUAUUCUUCAGGGGCCUGGGCGGGAUAUUCAUAUGGCCCUUGACCAGCAAGACUGAAAAUCAAUGCUAUCCUCCAGCAACAAUGGCAUGAAUAGCACCCAAUCUGGGCUGAGUGAGUACACAUUAAACACCUCGCUGUUCCAAAGGACAGAUUGUUUUCGAACACAAAAAAAGAAGGAGAAGAAAAAAACGAGGGGGCUCCAUUAGAGAAUUGGACGCUAUAAACAGGCCUGAGAGAAAAACAACACCUUUUAAUUUCAUGACCAUGCGAGCGUCUAGAUACACUAUUAAAACAGUUAUUAAAUGUAGCACCUAAAAACUGUCAUGUAAACAUUUCCAUGUAAAAGUUCUGUUUUCUUUUUAGAAUCGUGUUCUCUUUGUUGCCGUGUGAACUGAAACACUGAUUCUCAUUCAGCCAGCCCAAAUCUCCCCCUCCCCUCUUUGCUGAUUUUGGAGCAGUGUUUAGUUUCAGUCUGGCGUCUCUCCGGUGUUCUCUGCUCCUAUAAUGUUUCGCCACACUGCCACUGUUUUUUUUUUUUUACUGAUCCUACUGUACAUUGUGUUACAGCUUUCCUCUCUCAUUCUCGCCUUCCUCUGUCUCUUUUUCUACCGCCCUGCCUCUCUCAGGGACAGCCUCGGGGUCGCUGUUUUCUCUCACUGGUUAACCGGUGUCUGGCACUCUGGAGGCGGCGUGUCAUUGGCUGCCUGACUCGUCUCACCUUGGCGGUGCAUAUUUUACCACACGGGACAAUAAAAGGCAAAACAGA